GUGGGAGAUGGUGUCAAAUGCCUUGCUGACGUCAAGGUACACAACAUCCACUGCUCUCUCCCAUCUACCCAGCCAGUGAUGACAUCAUAGAAGGCUAUCAGGUUGGUCUAGCACGAUUUCCUCUGUGAAUCCACGUUGAGUACUCCUGAUAAUCUUCUUCUCUUCCAAUUGCUUGGAGAUGGUAUCCAGAAAAAGUUGUUCUUUCACCUUUCCAGGGACAGAGGUGCGCCUUCUGAAUUGGGCACACAGCCCCAGCCAGGCUCUUAAUGGAGUGAUGACACUAACGCUGCAACAAUAGAAAGGCCUCCAGGGAUGCUGGCUGCAGAGCAGAGGUGCAGUUCCAGCAACCUUUUCAGCAGUACAUGCCGUCAGCUGUGACAUUAUGUGUCUCAUGCAGUUCAGCUAUUUUCCUGCAGAGGGGAGGAACAAGACGUAAGUCAAUGUCUUUGCUUCAUGUUGGAAAACUCUAUGGGUAAGAUGUAUUUGUUCCAUAUUUAUCUGUCUAGUUAUUGCAUUUUGCUCUAUUUUCUUCAUCCUUGAUGUCCUCAGUUACCACAGAGAAGAUUAUUUGGCGCCAAGUUAUAUAAUUAUAAAAAUAUAAACAAACAAACAAACAAAAAAUUAUAUAAGUGAUAUAUUUGCCUCAAGCUGCACCAGGGGAGAUUCAGGCUGGAUGUUAGG